UAUUAUCUAUAGACCUAUGUCUAAUUAUUAUUUUUUUGUUCUAGAUGUAUUUUACAUUUAAAAAUAUGCGGGGGGAGGUGGAAAAAAAAUAGGUCCACCGUCAAAUAAAGAGGAAUUAAAAAAAAAAUUUAGAGGUGGAAGUUAUUAAAAUUUAAACAUAAUCUUCUAUAUACAUAGAGACAAGUGGGGUAAUUGUAUAUGUUUUUCCCAGGAAUAUUUAGCAGCUUUUAUUUUAUUUUAAAAGUUCUGGUUCUUAUAUGUGUUACUAUCAUAUUAAAUAUAACAUCGAAAUAUAAUUAUGUGUAUUUAUCAUUUGAAAUACAUUUACAACUAACCCAAAUUACCUUAAAUUUGGAUUUAAAAAAAACUUUAAUGGUAGAUUAUAAUGAUUUACAUUUUUAUCAAUUUCAGCUUACAAUUACUGUGGCCAAACUGGUCUCGUAGAAAAAAAUUGUCAUAUAAAAGAUGCUGGUCUGCCUCCUAUGGAUCCCUAAAUGUAUAAAUAUUGUGGUCUCCCCGGGCACGGGGAAAUGGCAUGUCAUGUUAAAGCAGGUGGAUAUCCACCAAUAAAGACAAAAAUUUGUGAACACUGCCAUUUCCCAGGGCACGGGGAACAAAAGUGCCACAUUAAAGUAGCAGGAUUGUCGCCGCUGCCAUCAAAUCAGAUUAAUGAUGAAUGAAUAAAAAUCAAAAAUAAUUUAAAAAAAAAUAUUUUUGCUAAUUUAUUUUAAAAAAAAAAUUUUGUUAAUUUGUUUUUUUAUGUCUUUCCUCAUUGUAUUUAAUACAAACUUCAUAACCAGGUAACAAAAACAUUUUACACAUUUUUCUGACAAUCGUCCAAUUAGACCAUCACAUUAAUUCGUCGAUCUAAUAGAAUAUUACAAUUAAUUAAAAAGAACUGCCUAAUACGUUUGAUAACGUAUUGACGCACGUAUCGGCCUUGUCAACUUGCAUUUAUGACAAUAAUCGUAGACGAGUCCCGGUAAUUUCAUAACACAUCCCGAAAGCUGACAUUUUACAUGAAUUAGUUUUGACAUAAUUUUAACAUAAUAGAACUAUUAUAUUAAGUUAUUGAAAUUUAUAUAUUUUAUCGUUCAAUACAUAUUAAUUCAUCAGCAUAAUAUAAAAAGUCGUUAACAGUUGUUAAUUUUUUUAAU